rnacentral:rRNA from 1 species
UACGUAGGGGGCAAGCGUUGUCCGGAUUUAUUGGGCGUAAAGAGCGUGUAGGCGGCUUGGUAGGUCCGCUGUGAAAACUCGAGGCUCAACCUCGAGAUGUCGGCGGAAACCACUUGGCUAGAGUCCGGAAGAGGAGAGUGGAAUUCCCGGUGUAGCGGUGAAAUGCGCAGAUAUCGGGAAGAACACCUAUGGCGAAGGCAGCUCUCUGGGCCGGAACUGACGCUGAGGAGCGAAAGCGUGGGGAGCGAACAGG